rnacentral:rRNA from 1 species
UGAAAUGCGUAGAGAUCGGGAGGAACAUCAGUGNCGAAGGCGGCCAUCUGGGACAACACUGACGCUGAAGCACGAAAGCGUGGGGAGCAAACAGGAUNAGAUACCCUGGUAGUCCACGCCCUAAANCGAUGCGAAACUGGAUGUUGGUCUCAACUCGGAGAUCAGUGUCGAAGCUAACGCGUUAAGUUCGCCGCCUGGGGAGUACGGUCGCAAGACUGAAACUCAAAGGAAUUGACGGGGGCCCGCACAAGCGGUGGAGUAUGUGGUUUAAUUCGAUGCAACGCGAAGAACCUUACCUGGCCNUNACAUGUCCGGAAUCCUGCAGAGAUGCGGGAGUGCCUUCGGGAAUCGGAACACAGGUGCUGCAUGGCUGUCGUCAGCUCGUGUCGUGAGAUGUUGGGUUAAGUCCCGCAACGAGCGCAACCCUUGUCCUUAGUUGCCAGCGAGUAAAGUCGGGAACUCUAAGGAGACUGCCGGUGACAAACCGGAGGAAGGUGGGGAUGACGUCAAGUCCUCAUGGCCCUUACGGCCAGGGCUACACACGUACUACAAUGGUCGGUACAGAGGGUUGCAAUACCGCGAGGUGGAGCCAAUCCCAGAAAGCCGAUCCCAGUCCGGAUCGAAGUCUGCAACUGGGNUNAAAGAAGUCGGAA